CCCUUUGGGGUGUGACUGCGUACCUUUUGUAUAAUGGGUCAGCGACUUAUAUUCUGUAGCAAGGUUAACCGAAUAGGGGAGCCGGAGGGAAACCGAGUCUUAACCGGGCGUUAAGUUGCAGGGUAUAGACCCGAAACCCGGUGAUCUAGCCAUGGGCAGGUUGAAGGUUGGGUAACACUAACUGGAGGACCGAACCGACUAAUGUUGAAAAAUUAGCGGAUGACCUGUGGCUGGGGGUGAAAGGCCAAUCAAACCGGGAGAUAGCUGGUUCUCCCCGAAAGCUAUUUAGGUAGCGCCUCGUGAAUUCAUCUCCGGGGGUAGAGCACUGUUUCGGCUAGGGGGCCAUCCCGGCUUACCAACCCGAUGCAAACUGCGAAUACCGGAGAAUGUUAUCACGGGAGACACACGGCGGGUGCUAACGUCCGUCGUGAAGAGGGAAACAACCCAGACCGCCAGCUAAGGUCCCAAAGUCAUGGUUAAGUGGGAAACGAUGUGGGAAGGCCCAGACAGCCAGGAUGUUGGCUUAGAAGCAGCCAUCAUUUAAAGAAAGCGUAAUAGCUCACUGGUCGAGUCGGCCUGCGCGGAAGAUGUAACGGGGCUAAACCAUGCACCGAAGCUGCGGCAGCGACGCUGAUGCGUUGUUGGGUAGGGGAGCGUUCUGUAAGCCUGUGAAGGUGGCCUGUGAGGGUUGCUGGAGGUAUCAGAAGUGCGAAUGCUGACAUAAGUAACGAUAAAGCGGGUGAAAAGCCCGCUCGCCGGAAGACCAAGGGUUCCUGUCCAACGUUAAUCGGGGCAGGGUGAGUCGACCCCUAAGGCGAGGCCGAAAGGCGUAGUCGAUGGGAAACGGGUUAAUAUUCCCGUACUUGGUGUUACUGCGAAGGGGGGACGGAGAAGGCUAUGUUGGCCGGGCGACGGUUGUCCCGGUUUAAGCGUGUAGGUGUGUGUUCCAGGUAAAUCCGGUUCACUUUAACACUGAGGCGUGAUGACGAGGCACUACGGUGCUGAAGCAACAAAUGCCCUGCUUCCAGGAAAAGCCUCUAAGCAUCAGGUAACAUCAAAUCGUACCCCAAACCGACACAGGUGGUCAGGUAGAGAAUACCAAGGCGCUUGAGAGAACUCGGGUGAAGGAACUAGGCAAAAUGGUGCCGUAACUUCGGGAGAAGGCACGCUGACACGUAGGUGAAGUGAUUUACUCAUGGAGCUGAAGUCAGUCGAAGAUACCAGCUGGCUGCAACUGUUUAUUAAAAACACAGCACUGUGCAAACACGAAAGUGGACGUAUACGGUGUGACGCCUGCCCGGUGCCGGAAGGUUAAUUGAUGGGGUCAGCGCAAGCGAAGCUCCUGAUCGAAGCCCCGGUAAACGGCGGCCGUAACUAUAACGGUCCUAAGGUAGCGAAAUUCCUUGUCGGGUAAGUUCCGACCUGCACGAAUGGCGUAAUGAUGGCCAGGCUGUCUCCACCCGAGACUCAGUGAAAUUGAACUCGCUGUGAAGAUGCAGUGUACCCGCGGCAAGACGGAAAGACCCCGUGAACCUUUACUAUAGCUUGACACUGAACAUUGAGCCUUGAUGUGUAGGAUAGGUGGGAGGCUUUGAAGUGUGGACGCCAGUCUGCAUGGAGCCGGCCUUGAAAUACCACCCUUUAAUGUUUGAUGUUCUAACGUGGACCCGUGAUCCGGGUUGCGGACAGUGUCUGGUGGGUAGUUUGACUGGGGCGGUCUCCUCCUAAAGAGUAACGGAGGAGCACGAAGGUUGGCUAAUCCUGGUCGGACAUCAGGAGGUUAGUGCAAUGGCAUAAGCCAGCUUGACUGCGAGCGUGACGGCGCGAGCAGGUGCGAAAGCAGGUCAUAGUGAUCCGGUGGUUCUGAAUGGAAGGGCCAUCGCUCAACGGAUAAAAGGUACUCCGGGGAUAACAGGCUGAUACCGCCCAAGAGUUCAUAUCGACGGCGGUGUUUGGCACCUCGAUGUCGGCUCAUCACAUCCUGGGGCUGAAGUAGGUCCCAAGGGUAUGGCUGUUCGCCAUUUAAAGUGGUACGCGAGCUGGGUUUAGAACGUCGUGAGACAGUUCGGUCCCUAUCUGCCGUGGGCGCUGGAGAACUGAGGGGGGCUGCUCCUAGUACGAGAGGACCGGAGUGGACGCAUCACUGGUGUUCGGGUUGUCAUGCCAAUGGCACUGCCCGGUAGCUAAAUGCGGAAGAGAUAAGUGCUGAAAGCAUCUAAGCACGAAACUUGCCCCGA
rnacentral:rRNA from 1 species